CCCCUCUCUUAAUGCAGCCUGGCAGGCGCUUCGGCUGAGGACGCAGGUUGGGAGGAAACGCCAGUCACUUUCUGUGGCAGGAGGCCGAUGAGAUGUUUGCAGGUGACGGAUGUGCUUUGGCAGGCUGCCCCCGGGAAAGGACCAAGCUGCUGGCCACGGAUUCAGUCACUCCGAUUUAGGAAAAGGUGUUUUGAGGUUUUCCGCUCCUUUCUACAUCACUCCUGAAGCCUCAAGACCUUCGCUACUUCUCUUUUCCAAACAGGUUGAUUUUCAAAAUAUUGCCCGUGGCUGUUGUGAUUUUCACUCAGAGUUGAGUUUCAAGAAUUUGCCAGGUAGCUACCUGCUGCGCAGGAGAGGACCGACAGGAUGACCCGAGUGUGUAGAUUUAAGAUAGAAAGGACCCGGUGUGCUCAAAGGUGUGGGAGGCCUGCUUUACAUUGACCCAGGCACUGAUGCUACUAUCAGACUUCGUGUCCCUACAGACCAAAAGGAGAGGAGAGCCAGAGGAGCCUCAGAACUGCCCAGCAAGGUUCCCUGCAAGGGACCAACUCUCCCAGCCAGAAGAGCCUCAGAGCUGCCCAGCAAGGUUCCCUGCAAGGGACCAACUCUCCCAGCCAGAAGAGCCUCAGAGCUGCCCAGCAAGGUUCCCUGCAAGGGACCAACUCUCCCAGCCAGAAGCGUGGGGCAGAUGCCUGGAAGGCAAGACCGGAAGAAGCCACAUACCAGUACAACUCCCCAGAAAAUAGAAGUCCCUUCCACUGUGGCCUGGUGAGAGAGCGCAGCCCCGGGCACCACCGAACUGGCUCUACUUGCAAAUCUCUACAAAGCCCCACUGUCUCCCUCCGAGUCUUGAAGGCUUUGUAGCCACCAGAGAGUACAGACUUCUCGGAGCGUGACGUAUCUUCCCUCCAUAUCAGCUGCUCUUCUGAUACCUUGGCCAGCUCCGGGCCCGCCCGCCCCUCCCUUGUACUAACCCACUGUCACACGGUAGCAGUCUCAUCUCUCCCGGCCCGUGUCGACUGCGUCACGUCGCAGUCUUCCAGACGCAAGGAUACAGCUGCCCUUCUGGACCACGACCCCGGGUCCCUGCCUCAUUCUGGUUCGCUGAGUGGAUAAAUAAACUUCUCAACCAAAGGCUCCCUCAGCCUCGGCUGCUCAGGACACUGGACCUUCUUGCACGCUGUCUCCUCUGUCUCCGGGGCUGCUUUCACCCCCCACCUACCCAGCCAUCUGGAUCACAUCUGUCCACCUUCCAAAGCUUUGCCGGCAUCCAAGCGGCUCCUGAGUUUGCACGACCCCACCUGCGCACACCUGCAUGUUCGGUGCACACUUCCGUUGCCGCAGCAGCAGCGGCGGCAGCCUGUGCCUCUGUCUCCCCGGGUAGAUACUGAACUCUCUAUAGCUCGGGAUAUUUUCAUCUCUGUGCUCCUGUACCUCAGGCAGUACGCAACAGCAGUAAGCGGGAAGUCAAGUGAAGGGACUCACGCAUGAAUAAAUGCACAAAUGAGCGCACGCGUGAGCCAGCAAACGCAUGCAUGGACGGUUAUGUGAGCAAACGUCCCUGUGGAGAUUUCCUUCCCCUCUCUUCUAGCCGUUGGGGCGUGGCGGCCUCGCGUUGGUUAUCCUUGCUCUCAGGCCGCGUUGCGGUGUCCCGAGAACGUGUUUCAACGAGACUUCAUUUUUGGAAAAUUAAUGAGCAGCUCACUUGGCAGGGUGGCGAGUUUGAAAUGCCCCGAGUGAACAACAACAACAACAACAAAAAAUCCUUGAGUGUAAGGGAAAGGAAAGAACAGGGGAAGGCAGGUGAUCUGGGGUUGCUGGCUGGCAGUGGCUAGUCUCUCGAGCAUAACUGUGGAUAAAAAUAAUACCAAGCCUGGGAGACCAGAGGCCCUGUCACAAGUGACCUUGGAAUACAUUUUUAUUCCACCCCUCUCCUGAGAGGAGCCAAUGGGGAGAGGCUUUGGAAUUGGUAAGGAGCACCAAGAAAGAGACGUAUUGUCAUCCUGCCUGGGUGAGAGGAUAUUGCCUUGAGAAUUCAGUGCUAGCCCCACCUGCUCUCCCCAAAAGAGAGAAUAUUCUAAUAUGACCCACAUCCCUUUCGCUUACUAAGGCCUACAUUAAUUAGGAAACAUUUUUCGAAAUGUAAAACUGAGUCUCUGAGUAAGCACAAUCCUUUGCAGAAAGCAGGAAGCACACGAGUCAAGCAGCCUACCCUCAGAUGUGAAGCCAUCUGUGGUUUCAGAACAAGCGGCUUUGCUAGCUGGAGGUGGCACGCUGUUGUGAAAUGCUAAAUUAAAUACCACGACACGCUAUUAUGGCUUCAAAAAGUAGUUACAGGCUUCAAUAAGCACACUUUUAUCACAAGAACACACAACCUAAAGCCAAAAUAGUUCAGUUUAGCAUGCCAAAAAUCUGCUCACCCCAUACAUUGUUAGAAAGAGCAGUAGGAAAAGGCAUCAGAAUUUGCUACCAUUUCCCUCGAUGGUAGCCAACAUCUCCUAUCUUCUUUGGCAAGGAGGCCAUUUCCCUAUGCUGUAUUUUGCACACAGAAAUCUGCAUACAGCGAUUUGCAUACCAAAGCCACAUUUGUUUAAAAAAAAAAAACUGUUUGCAGGAAAGCCAGAGGAAGACAGGGUUGCCACCGUCGGCACCUCUGUGCUGCACUGCCAGGUUGCUCGCUUUUCAUUCUCCUCCAUGCUGAAUCCCUACACAGCAUUAUGUGCUUGAUGAGACAUUAAAAAUUAAAGCGAAUGUAUCCUCUGUAUUUCCACGGACCAUGCUAACCUCGAGUCUAUCCUGCCAACAUCCUGUCCAUCGUUUCCUGAAAGGCUUGUGAUGACAGCUCGAAGUGCCACAAUCAAUUGAGAUUUUAUUACACGUUAUAGUUCAAAUAAAACCUGUCUCCAGGACAGGUGCUGUGGUACCCUGUUUUACCUAGGAGGCAACUGUGGCAUGGAGAAACAAAGCGAACUUGCCCAAGUUUUGCAAGCCAGGAGUCCCACGCAUGGCCAGGUUUGGAAGCCUGAUUGAGGGCUCGGCCCUUUCUGGUCACCUUUGUCCCCACUGUUGCCCCCUUUCUCUAGUGCUACACACUCUUGAUACCUAUCACUACCUCGGCUGACUCUACCAGUCUGAGGUGGGGUCCCGUGCCGGGAAAAGGGUACCAUUUUGGUUUCCCAGCAUUUAUCUUUUUUCUAUCCGGAGCCUGGAGGCAUGACGGUAGACCCAAGGCUCAGUGAAGGUGUCUCAUAAGCGAACUCAGGGGCACACUGGGAUGAGUGGGAAAGUGGCUUGUGAUACCAACGACAGCGUCAAAAGAGCAGGCUGGGUGGCCGCGCAUAGCCCGCGUGCAGCCAUUGAGAUGCAGUGCGCAUGCUCACUGCACAUGCGCCAGUCCAGCUGCGUUCCCAGAAACAUAGCGGUCGCUGUCUGUGUGGGCUUAAUUAGAAUGCUGCUUACAGAGACCUUAUCAGUAGCAAGUCAGAUGCUCCGUGGCUUCCUAAAUAAAAGUCAGUCGUGGUUUUUAAGAUUGGUUUAUCUGAUGAGUAUUUUGGAUUUUUCCAGUACAUACCAUUUGAAAGAAAUUAGCCAUUUCUGCAAAAGAAGAUAAAGGACAGAAUGAAGA